rnacentral:rRNA from 1 species
UACGGGGGAUGCAAGCGUUAUCCGGAUUUAUUGGGUUUAAAGGGUGCGUAGGCGGGACCUUAAGUCAGCGGUAAAAGCCCGGGGCUCAACCCCGGCGAGCCGUUGAAACUGGCAGCCUUGAGUGAGCGAGAAGUAUGCGGAAUGCGUGGUGUAGCGGUGAAAUGCUUAGAUAUCACACAGAACACCGAUUGCGAAGGCAGCUUUCCAAGCUAUUACUGACGCUGAGGCACGAAAGCGUGGGGAGCGAACAGG